CAGUCGCCGCGGUAAUACGGGGGGAGCUAGCGUUGUUCGGAACUACUGGGCGUAAAGCGCACGUAGGCGGCUAUUCAAGUCAGGGGUGAAAGCCCGGGGCUCAACCCCGGAACUGCCUUUGAAACUAGAUAGCUUGAAUCUUGGAGAGGCGAGUGGAAUUCCGAGUGUAGAGAUGAAAUUCGUAGAUAUUCGGAAGAACACCAGUGGCGAAGGCGACUCGCUGGACAAGUAUUGACACUGAGAGACGAAAGCUAGGGGAGCAAAUGGGAUUAGAUACCCCAGUAGUCCCUGUCUCUUAUAA
rnacentral:rRNA from 1 species